GGGUCUUGCUCUGUCAUCCAGGCUGGAGUGCAGUGGCGAGAUCCUAGCUUAUUGCAGCCAGCCUCCAACUCCCGGGCUUAAGUGAUCCUCCUGCCUCAGCCUCCCAUGUAGCUUUUAUUUGGUAAAAGCCAGAUCACCAUUCUCCUCAAGAAACAAGAGGCUACAAUCUAAAAAACUAUUGAUAUCGCACCUAACAGGAAGCCAGAGUAGGUCCUCUGAAGGUGUUUGUUCAAUGAACUUGUCAUCCUCCUCAACUUAAAGCCUUUAGCUUUUCCAAUUUGGAGGCACAAAUAAGUGAGAACUUGGGGAUCCACUGAGGUCUGAGGCACGGUGGUACCAGAGGAGAUGAAGGGGCUUUCAGCAUGAAGCUGGUCCCCUGUCGACAGCACGCUGAUUUUCCCGUUGGGCUCUAUCAGCAUGUCCACUGUCAGGCUUGCCUCCACUUUUUCCAGUGCCCACAUUUACCUCUCAGAGUGCAUCAACAAUCGUCAGGACAUUGGAAGGUUCCAAGACAUCUGCAGAAAGCAUGGGGCUCCACCAGCCUGGCCGAUACACCCCAGAGAUUCUUGUCUACCAAAUGCUUUCUGACAUCCCUACAUGAAGGACUGGAGAGUGAAAAGGGCAAGACAAUGACCUGAAAAAGUAAGCAAGACUGUCAGUGUUGAAAGGAGCCAUGUGGACUAUCUAGGACAAAUGCCUCGUGUCACAGAAGAGGGAACGAGGGCUUCUCCAGUCACACUGGGAGGCCGCAGGUGCUCUCUGGCUGCCUCUGACUCCUGGACCAUGCUUGUGAAAAUACCAGGACGGUAAAUUAGUGAAUUCCAAAGUCAGGAUUUUUGUUGGAUCUGGCACAGUCACAGGAAAGUCUGAGUUUUCUCAAGGGCAUCCCUGUCUCACCGAGGGGCACCAAGGACAGACGACCAGAAGCAAAUGGCGCAGUCACCGUCAGAGGAGAGUAAAACUCAUUCUGAAACGGUUCCAAAUGCCCAUGCCUGCUCUGUGGUUUUCAGCAAAGCGGACCUUUCCAAAAGACCUCCAACGGGGACUUCCUGGAUGUGAGAACACUAACCAAUUCUCGUUCCUCUCAUCUUUUGCUUUAUUCCUUCCUUCCACGCUGUUAUUGCGAAAAACUGGCAGUUAAAUUCAAUUGAUUCAAAAUAUUCGGGAUCCAUAUGGCCGCCAACCCUGGAGCUGAAGCGGCGAUAGCGCCUCACUGCUGUUUUCAAGCAUUUGCCUCUCCUCCAGUCCCCAGAUGGUGGGAGUAACAUUUAAACCUCCUUUUCUCUGCCUUGUACAAUAGACCUUGGCACCAUUUCAACUGUUUACUCCGGUAAUUAACAGCUCUGAUACCACAACAAUUACAACUCCUACACUCUCACCACAAUAAUGCUAUGAAUUAGUGAGAGCUAAUGGCUGGAAGGUAGAGUGUUUCCAGACUGUGGGAUCUGUGCAUUUUUAGAAUAAAAUAAAAGGUACAAACAGCACGCUUGCAGUAGACAAUGAUUACCUAGUAAUUAGUUUACACAAAGCUUCCUAUUUAAUGGCAAAACGCUGUAAUUAACGUGUGACAGAAAAUCAAAGGGUACUUUGUAAGCAUAUUAAAAAUUAACACUGCAGGCCCAUAGCUUUAUGUACUGAUUAGAAGCAUAUUAAAUCAAUAGGACACACAAACCAACAGCUUGUGUAGCUGAUUAUUAUAGGUCCUCAGAAGGGGUACCCUGGCUUUCAUUUCACUUGGGGAGGCAAUUUUCCUUCUCCUGUCAUCUUCCUCAGGCACAGAGAAACACCUCAAACUCAACCCUGGCAGCUUCAUGAAAAUAACCACUGAACUGGAAGAAAACAUUCUAAGUCAUUCUCAGAGAUGAAGACAAAUAUGUAAAUGAUUAAGACUUUCCAAUGAUUGUGGUGACGUGCUGCUACACUAAUUAGAAAAUACACCAACUGGAACCAGAAAAUAAAGCCACUGGGUUGCAAUCUUCCGGUCAGAAUAAUCUCUACUUUGUCAAGCCUCUUUAUUCAACUCAUAGAAAGUUCAAAUAAAUGGAACUGUUUUAUAUUUCUAAAUGAUAAGAAAGCAGGCUGCUAUGAAGACUUAUUCUUUCCAAGGCACUGUCUGGGUAAAGCAUAGGCUGGGAACAACUGGAUCAACCAACAUUCUGUAUCUUCAACAGCCACAACCCCAUAUAAUGAUGGCUGAUGGACAUAGACAGCAAUAUCCUGGAAGCCUACCAGAGCCUAAAGAACCUUCUGAAUCACCAAAGAAAGAUUAAGUU